GGACCCGGCCUAGGCCCGCCCGGUGCGUGUCCAGACCCGCCAUAUGCCUACACAUAUAAGGCGUCUACAACAAUAGCAAAUAAAUGAACAACAAAUAGAGUGUAUCUAAAGAUAUCAGAGCAAGUAUACAGCUAGGUUCUAACAACAGGUAGAAACAAGGGAAACUAAACCACCAAGGCAAAACGUAAAAUAAUACAUCACAAGUCUCAAGCUACAUAUAAGGGGUGGUCUCUACAAAAAUGGUACAAGUCUCUCAACCUCUCCAAACAAAACUCAGAAGAGAGGUAGACCACCUAUCGUCGAAUUCCUCGCUAGCUAACUCGAGGC
rnacentral:lncRNA from 1 species